rnacentral:tRNA from 1 species
UAGCUCAGUUGGGAGAGCAUCUGCCUUACAAGCAGAGGGUCAGCGGUUCGAGCCCGUU